UAGUAGAAAUCCUAUACAGUCAGCGGUUAUCAGCGCGGGCGCUCAUUUUAUUUUUUAAUUGAACUGCGCAUGUGCAGUUCAGAUGUGAUUUAUUAUUCAAAAUGGCGGAAGAGAAGCGACUUCGCGAAGGAGACGGCUUUUAUCGUCAACUUAACGAGGCAAAUUCGGGUGAACUGUUGUGGAGAGGCAUUCAAAAAAGAAAAAAGACACGGAGGAAUGGGGAUCCAACAUUUUAUCCAGUUGAAAGAGUUGUUUCACGGCAAAUAAACAAUGGAAAGACACAAUAUCUCUUAAAGUGGACAGGAUACAGUGCCUAUGAGAGUUCUUGGGUGGACGAAGAUGAUCUGAGUGCUGAUCUUGUUAGGCAUGUAUUUUACAAAAUUGCAUCAGAAAGGAUUCCCCUUUCUUUAGUGUCAGCGAAGCCUUUCGAGUUAGAAAAACGAGCAAGUCUUAAAUCUUUUUUUGUUUUGUUUCCACCUUAGGAAUUUUGACAGCCCACAAGUGGAGACUUCACGCCUUCAAGGCAAUUUAGAUCGGCUGAGAGAGGCGAUGGAGGCAAAGCUUAAGA